GUGGAGGCUGACCCAUUUGGGACCCACCACCGAUGUGGGUCCCACCCCUUCCACCUCCGAUCUGAGGCUCACCCCUUCCACCACCACGGCCUUGUCCUCGACCACGGUUACCUCCACCUCUGCCGGCGUUAUCAUGACCGCCACCACGUCGGUAGUUCCCACGAUCCAUUCUGUAACUUGAGAGAGAAAAAGUAAAGUAGCAAAUGUGAACACUUUCGAUGAUUU
rnacentral:misc_RNA from 1 species